CUCAAAUAAAAUCAUUAAAAAAAGGUGAAAGAAAUAAUGGCAACAGCAUUACAUCCCACGGAUCAUUAACCCUUUCUUCAUUGACUUAAAUCACAUGGCUAGAGGCAUCACCACUUUAUGGAGUGCUGAUACGCACCUACAUGUAACCAUUUUACGAGUUCAAAAUAAAUCAAAUGCCAUAUUAUCAAAGUGUCUAAGGAAAGAAUAUAUAUUACAGUCAUGGAGUCUCGUCCCCUUGUCGCUUCCUGUUGGUCCUAGCCAAGCAGAACAGGAUGUGGUUUUUCUUUGUCCUUUCUACCAAAGCCUAUUUCUUUGCCUUUGCAAACCUUAGGCAUCGAUACUUUUCGCCACUUACAGUGAUUUCAAGAGCUCCAUCCUGAUUAUCCUGAUUUGAUGCAGUUCCCAUUAGAACACUUUUCUCCUUCUCAAGAUUUUCUUUUUCCAUCUUCAGCCUUGCUUCUUGGCGAGCAAUCUCUGCCUCGCGACGAGAAAGCUCAGCCUUCCAAGCAGCUUCGCGCUCGGCGACUUCGCGUUCUCGUUCUUCAAUAUAACUCUGCAUCUCUCUCUCCUUCAUGAUUCUAUCUUGAAUAUCGGCAUCUAGAGCUUCCUUUAGCUCCUGAACGAACUUGUCUACCACCGCCUUAAUCCUCAGCGACAUCUCUGUUUCGACCCAAUUGGAGAAGCUCUACUGAUGUUUGAUUGUGGGUAUCAUAAUCAACAAUUACUUUUUCAUCUGUUUCAUUUGCAAGAAAGAAAUGCUAAGGAAUCGAGAGAGAGGGUCCAGCUUACGAUUCGUGAACGGAGAAGAAGGACCCAAUUUUUCCAAUGUUUUGUUUAUUUUGCGGGCGAUACUAGCUAGCAAUUUUACUCCUUUGCUUUUUGCUUGUUCAAAACUCGCAGAGAGGCCUAC
rnacentral:misc_RNA from 1 species